AGAGUUUGAUCAUGGCUCAGAUUGAACGCUGGCGGUAUGCUUAACACAUGCAAGUCGAACGCGAAAGCACCUUCGGGUGUAAGUAGAGUGGCGGACGGGUGAGUAAGGCAUGGGAAUCUGCCCUAUAGCGGGGGAUAACUUGGGGAAACCCAAGCUAAUACCGCAUACACCUACGGGUAAAAGAUGGCCUCUUCUUGAAAGCUAUUACUAUAGGAUGAGCCCAUGUAAGAUUAGCUAGUUGGUAGGGUAAAAGCCUACCAAGGCUACGAUCUUUAGCUGGUCUGAGAGGACGAUCAGCCACACUGGGACUGAGACACGGCCCAGACUCCUACGGGAGGCAGCAGUGGGGAAUAUUGGACAAUGGGGGCAGCCCUGAUCCAGCAAUACCGCGUGUGUGAAGAAGGCCUGCGGGUUGUAAAGCACUUUUAUCUGUGAGGAAGGGUUUAAUGUUAAUACCAUUAGACAUUGACG
rnacentral:rRNA from 1 species